rnacentral:misc_RNA from 1 species
GAUGAAGAACGCAGCGAAAUGCGAUAAGUAAUGUGAAUUGCAGAAUUCAGUGAAUCAUCGAAUCUUUGAACGCACAUUGCGCCCUCUGGUAUUCCGGGGGGCAUGCCUGUUCGAGCGUCAUUAUAACCACUCAAGCUCUCGCUUGGUAUUGGAGUUCGCGAUCUCGCGGCUCCUAAAAUCAGUGGCGGUGCCUGUCGGCUCUACGCGUAGUAAUACUCCUCGCGAUUGAGUCCGGUAGGUUUACUUGCCAGCAACCCCCAAUUUUUACAGGUUGACCUCGGAUCAGGUAGGAAUACCCGCUGAACUUAAGCAUAUCAAUAAGCGGAGGA